rnacentral:rRNA from 1 species
UACGUAGGGCGCGAGCGUUGUCCGGAUUUAUUGGGCGUAAAGAGCUCGUAGGCGGCUCAUUGCGUCAACCGUGAAAACCAGCAGCUCAACUGUUGGCUUGCGGUUGAUACGGGUGGGCUGGAGUUCGGUAGGGGAGACUGGAAUUCCUGGUGUAGCGGUGAAAUGCGCAGAUAUCAGGAGGAACACCGGUGGCGAAGGCGGGUCUCUGGGCCGAUACUGAAGCUGAGGAGCGAAAGCGUGGGGAGCGAACAGG